CUCUCCUGCUGCUCCCUGGCCCUGCUGUAUCACAGUGUGCAGACCAGGUCUUAGGUCAGCCACAGAGAUGGUUUCUACAAGCUUCUCUGGUGUGAGAUGCAGCAAAUAUGUUCUACUGAAUACAAGGCUGAAGAUAGAUGAGGCCUAAUUUAACACCCAGGGUUCACGGUAACAUCAAACACAGAUGGAGCAUAUGGAAAAUGUGAACUUGCUACCAAGGCAGAAACAUGAAGAGCAAGUACCAUCUUUCAAGUUUUCUGAUUCCAUGGGCACAUUCUGGAAAAAGAUUUGUUAUCACAGUAGAAGGAAGCAAUGUGUCCUUGACAGAUAUUUGUUUUAACAAACACUUUAAAAUAGACAUCCAUAUCUGUAACCAUGCAAGAAAAUAAUGCUAUUUUGUUUCUUCAGAUUUGCAGUAUGUACCCAAUAAAACACAAUUCAGAUUCUCAUGUCACUGUAUCGCAGAGACAUUU